UGAGCAAAAAACAUCUGCAUGCACGCCCGACAAAAAAAAAACAGAAAUGAAAAGAAAGAAGUGUUUGUUGAACAUGAGAAAAAAAGUUUUUAAUAGAAAAAUUUUACACACCACUUUUUUUUAUUUUGGGCUCUGUUUUCUGAUUUGUAU
rnacentral:ribozyme from 14 species